UCAAGCUACUAAGGGCAUACGGCGGAUGCCUAGGCGCCAUCAGCCGAUGAAGGACGCGGUAAGCUGCGAAAAGCUACGGGGAACUGCAAGCAAGUAUUGAUCCGUAGAUGUCCGAAUGGGGAAACCCACCUGCCGUCAUGGGCAGGUAUCCGAAAGGAAGGGAACCCGGGGAACUGAAACAUCUAAGUACCCGGAGGAAGAGAAAUCAAACGAGAUGCCCACAGUAGCGGCGAGCGAAGAGGGCAGAGGGCAAACCGGGGAGCUACGGCUCUCCGGGGUUGAGGACUGCAUUUAGUCUUAAUGGUCUAUCCGAACUACCUGGAAAGGUAGGCAACACAGUGUAAAAGCCACGUAGGUUAAAGACCGGAGAGAUGAGCAGUAUCCAGAGUACCACGAGGCACGAGGAAUCUUGUGGGAAGCCGGGGGGACCACCCUCCAACCCUAAACACUGAAUGGCGACCGAUAGCGCAUAGUACCGUGAGGGAAAGGUGAAAAGAACCCCGGGAGGGGAGUGAAAGAGAACCUGAAACCGUAUGUCUACAAGCAGUCGGAGCGAAAGCGACGGCGUGCCUAUUGAAGAAUGAACCAACGAGUUACGUGCACUAGCGAGGUUAAGUGGAAGACACGGAGCCGAAGCGAAAGCGAGUCUUAAGAGGGCGGAUAGUUAGUGUACGUAGACCCGAAACCGCAGUGAUCUACCCAUGUCCAGGUUGAAGCGCAGGUAAAAUUGCGUGGAGGACCGAACCUGUGAGCGUUGAAAAGCUUUAGGAUGAGAUGUGGGUAGAGGUGAAAUUCCAAUCGAACGCGGAGAUAGCUGGUUCUCCCCGAAAUAGCUUUAGGGCUAGCCUCAAGUAGUAAGUAUAGGCGGUAGAGCACUGAUCGGGCUAGGGGCCAUAAAGGUUACCGAACCCUGUCAAACUCCGAAUGGUUAUACUGUAGAGCUUGGGAGUCAGACUACGAGUGAUAAGAUCCGUGGUCAAAAGGGAAACAGCCCAGACCACCAGCUAAGGUCCCCAAUGUCGUACUAAGUGGAAAAGGAUGUGGGGUCUCUAAAACAACCAGGAUGUUGGCUUAGAAGCAGCCACCAUUUAAAGAGUGCGUAAUAGCUCACUGGUCGAGAGACCCUGCGCCGAAGAUUACCGGGGCUAAAGUACGAAACCGAAGCUGUGGCUACGACUUAGGUCGUGGGGUAGGGGAGCGUUCUGUGAGGGCUGAAGUCGUUCUGUAAGGAACGGUGGACUUCACAGAAGUGAGAAUGUUGGUAUGAGUAGCGAAAAGAAUGGUGAGAAUCCAUUCCACCGAAAGCAUAAGGAUUCCUGGGCAACGAUCGUCGUCCCAGGGUAAGUCGGGACCUAAUCCGAGGCAUGGAGCGUAGGAGAUGGACAACUGGCAGAUAUUCCAGUACCGGUAAUGAUUGUUUGAGCGAUGGAGUGACACAGGAGGGCAGGCAGGCAGGAGAUUGGUUGUUCCUGUACAAGCGUGUAGGAUGGGACGUAGGCAAAUCCGCGUCCUGUGAGUCUGAGGCGUGAUGUGGAGGUUCCGGAAACGGAACUGAAGCUGCUGACCCCACACUGUCGAGAAAAGCUUCUAGUUAGAGAAUUACCGCCCGUACCGUAAACCGACACAGGUAUGCGGGGAGAGAAUCCUAAGGUGCGCGGGAGAACCCUCGUUAAGGAACUCGGCAAAAUGUACCCGUAACUUCGGGAUAAGGGUAGCCGCUGUUGUGAAGUCUGCACAGACGGAGCAUGAGGCGGUCGCAGAGAAGAGGCCCAAGCGACUGUUUACCACAAACACAGGUGCCUGCUAAAGAGAAAUCUGACGUAUAGGUGCUGACACCUGCCCAGUGCCGGAAGGUUAAGGAAGGAUGUCCGGAGCAAUCCAAAGCAUUCGACCGAAGCCCCGGUGAACGGCGGCCGUAACUAUAACGGUCCUAAGGUAGCGAAAUUCCUUGUCGGGUAAG
rnacentral:rRNA from 1 species